rnacentral:lncRNA from 10 species
UGAGAUCACGCCACUGCACUCCAACCUGGACAAUAAGAGUGAGACGCUGUCUCAAAAAAAAAAAAAAAAGGUUAUGGAAAACUGGAUCACUUAUCAUGUAUUGCUGCUGAGGAUGCAAAAUGGAACAGCCAUUCUGGAAAACAGUAUGGCUGUUUCUUACAAAGUUAAACAUGUGCGAACCAUAUGACCCAGCAACUGUACACCUAGACAUUUAUCUGAGAGAAUGAAAACAUAAUGUUCACACAAAAGCUUGCAUAUGAAUAUUCACAGCAGUUUUAUUUGUAAUAGCCAAAAACUGGAAACAACCCCAAUGUCUUUCAAUGGGUGAAUGGUUAAAUAAACUGUGGUACAUCCAUACCAUGGAAUAUUAAUCAACAAGAAAAAGAAAUGAACUACUGAUACAUGCACCAGCUUGGAUGAAUCUCCAGGGCAUGUUGCUGAGUGAAAAAAAGCCAGUUCCUCAAACAUUACAUACUGUUUGAUUUCACUUAUAUAACAUUCUUGACAUGACACAAUUAUAGAGGUGGAGGACAGAUAAGUGGUUGCCAGGUGUUAGGAAUGGAAGGAGGUAAGAAGGCAGGUGCAGCUUUGAAAGGGUGACAGGAGGGAUCCCUGUGGUGAUGGCAAUGUUCGGCAUCUUGACUGUAUCAACAUCAAUGUCCUAGUUGCAACAUUGUAUUAGAGUUGCAUAAAAUGUUACCAUUGGGAGAAACUGGGUAGAGGUACAAAGGAUCUAUUAUUUCUUACAACUCUAUAUAAAUCUAUAAUUAUCUCAGAAUUAAAAGUUUAACUAAAACUACAUUCAAAAGAGGUUUCAUACUGUAUGUUUCCAUUGAUAUAGCAUUCUUGAAAUGACAAAAUUAUAGAGAUGAACAGAUUAGUUUCCCAGGGUUUAGACGGUAGGUGGAGGGAAGUGGCUAUAGCUAUAAAAAUGUAGUGGGGGCUCCUUGUGAUGGAGCUAUUCUGUAUCUUGACUGUGGUGGUCCCCAUGAAUCCUCACAUGUAAUAAGGCUGCAUAGAAUUAAAUACACAGAGACGUACACAAAUGAAUACAUGUCACACUGUCACACUGAUGAUGAAAUCUGAGUAAGGCCAAUGGAUUGUAUCAGCAUCAAUUUCCGGGUUGUCAUAUGGCACCACAAGAUGUUAUCACUGGACGAAAGGUGUAAGAGAUAUCUCUGCGUCAUUUCUUACAAUGGCAUGUACACAUACAAUUAUCACAAAAAUCAGAUAAAAUUACAAUAAAUAAAUUAUAUUUUUAAAUGUUUAAAAUAUAUUAAACAUAUAUAUUAAAAUAAAUUUAAAAUAUUGAAAGACGUCUGGGUUGUUUCCAGUUUUUGGCUAUUACAAAUAAAGCUGCUAUGAACAUUCAUAUGCAGGCUUUGAAUGAACAUUAAGUUUUCAUUCUCUGGAAUAAAUGUCUGAGAGUGCAAUUGCUGGGUCAUUUGGUAAGCAAACUAAAAACUCAUCACUUCCUAAUUAUUUUAUUACAUUUCCCUCCUAUCUGUGUCCUUGGGAUUAUUUAUAUCUAUUGUAUCUAUCUAGUGGCUGACUGAUGUCAUGUUGGUAUUUUUUUGUUGUUGUCAUUGGUUCUGUUUUUGUGAUGGAUUACACUUAUUGACCUGCAUAUGUUGAACCAGCCUUGCCUCCCAGGGAUAAAGCCAACUUCAUCGUGGUGUAUAAGCUUUUUGAUGUGCUGCUGGAUUCAGUUUGCCAGUGUUUUAUUGAGGAUUUUCACAUUGAUGUUCUUCAGGGAUAUUGGCCUCAAGUUUUCUUUUUUUUGCUGUGUCUCUGCCAGGUUUUAGUAUCAGGAUGAUGCUGGCCUCAUAAAAUGAGUUAGGGAGGUGUCCCUCCUUUUCAAUUGUUUGGAAUAGUUUCAGAAGUAUUGGGGGAACCCGCCCCCAAUAUUUCAACGUAGGUUCUUUCUAUUUUCCCUAAGUGUUGGCUGGUCUGAGAAAUAAAGAGUACAAAGAGAGGAAUUUUACAGCUGGGCUGCUGGGGGUGACAUCACAUAGCGGUAGGACCGUGAUGCCAACCUGAGCUGCAAAACCAGCAAGUUUUUAUCAGGGAUUUCAAAAGGGGAGGGGGUGUACAAACAGGGAGUAGGUCACAUGCUUUAAGGGGUAAAAAGCAGAGCAAAGAUCACAUGCUUCUGAGGAAACACAGCAAGGACAAAAUCAGAACUCCCGAUAAGGGUCUACGUUCAGCAGUGCACAUAUAGUCUUGAUAAACAUCUUAACAGAAAACAGGGUUCAAGAGCAGAGAACCAGUCUGAACUCAAAUUUACCAGGGUUGGGGUUUCCCAAUCCUAGUAAGCCUGAUGGUACUGCAGGAGACCAGGGCCUUAUCUCAACCACUUAAGACAGACACUCCCAGAGCCUUAUUUCAGGCUUUAUCUCAACCACUUAAGACAGACACUCCCAGAGUGGCCAUUUAUAGACCUCCCCCAAGGGAUGCAAUUAUUUUCCUAAGGUCUUAAUAUUAAUAUUUCUUGCUAGGAAAAGAAUUUAGCGAUAUCUCUCCUACUUGCACACCCAUUUAUAGGCUCUCUGCAAGAAGAAAAAUAUGGCUCUUUUUGCCUGACCCUACAGGCAGUCAGACCUUAUGGUUGUCUUCCCUUGUUCCCUAAAAUCACUGUUAUUCUGUUCUUUUUCAAGGUGCACUGAUUUCAUAUUGUUCAAACACACAUGUUUUACAAUCAAUUUGUACAGUAAACACAAUCAUCACAGUGAUCCUGAGGUGAUGUACAUCCUCAAUUUACGAAGAUAACAGGAUUAAGAGAUUAAAAUAAAGACAGGAGUAAGAAAUUAUGAAAGUAUUAUUUGGAAACUGAUAAAUGUCCAUGAAAUCUUCACAAUUUAUGUCCUCUGCCAAGGCUCCAGCCAGUCCCUCCAUUCGGGGUCCCUGAAUUCCUGCAACACAGAAGGAAUGGUACCAGUUCCUUUUUGUACCUCUGGUAGAAUUUGGCUGUGAAUCGUCUGGUCCUGGGCUUUUUUUGGUUGAUAGGCUAUUAAUUACUUUUUUUUUUUAAAGAUAGGGUCUCACUCUGUUGCCCAGUCUCGGGUAUAGUGGCACAGUCUCAGCUCACUGAAACCUCCACCUCCCAGUUCCAGUGAUCCUCCCAUCUCAGCCUCCCGAGUAGCUGGGAUUACAGGCAUGUGCCACCACACCCAGCUAAUUUUUGUAUUUUUAGUAGAGACAGAGUUUUACCAUGUUGGUCAGGAUAAUCUUGAACUCCUGGCCUCAAGUGAUCCACCCACCUUGGCCUCCCAAAGUGCUGGGACUACAGGUGUGAGCCACUGAGUCUGGCCUCAUAUUCAGAUUCUUGUGAGAAUACUUAUACCACAAGAAUGGGCAAACACUACAAAUCAGGGCUUUCCCCACCUCCUCUAGAGCCUGUUGUUAAGCAUCUGCCAGCACACCACUGGGUUGGCCUGCUUGUCAGAGUCUGAGGAUGUGGAGUGUGGUCUUUGAGGAGGAUGGGAGCAAGAGCUGAACUAGGAGCAGCAGGGUUGCCGGAUGCUGCUGCAGGCCCAGCUGAGGGAGGAGACCACAGUUGGACAGGGCCAGGCCUGCUGGCAUUAGCAAACGCCAUUGGCUGCAUUUGUUGAGGACUGGAGUUUUGCCAGGUGCCUGUAAGGGAAGAACAAUGGGGAGAGGGAGUUUAGAAUGGAAAGAGUUAGUGUUUGGUGCUGGAGCAUGGAUUUGAGAUGGAAAGGGAGAGAUGUGGAGAAACAGAGAUUGUGGGAUGGGCAUGGAGGUGUCCAUGGGCUGAAAGUCCCAAAGAGCCAGAGGAACAGUGUGUCACAGGUGACUGAGCUAAUCUGCUAGAGUGGAGGCUGCAGUCAGGUGCAUGGCUGAAUGUGCUGUUUCCUGGCAGGUGGGUGGCCCCUCCAGGUGCACAGCAUGGCCGCUGGCAUGGGCUGAGGCAGAUGGAGGAAAGGGCCACUGAAUUCUACAACCACUAAAUAGCAUGACUGCGAAAUACGAUCGAUUCCAAAUAUGAUAGCCACUGAGUCCUAUGGGGCUAAUACCUGAAACUAAAUACUAGAGUAACUAAAUAUUACAGAUAUGAAAUACUAUGUGUCCUAAAUACUACAGCCACUUAAUUCUACAGCCACGAAUACUGUAGCAACUGAACCUACAUCUCAGAUGUAAAAUACUGG